CUAGUAUUCUCUAUUAAACUACUC
rnacentral:tRNA from 1 species